rnacentral:rRNA from 1 species
UGGGGAAUAUUGCGCAAUGGGCGAAAGCCUGACGCAGCCAUGCCGCGUGUGUGAAGAAGGCCUUAGGGUUGUAAAGCACUUUCAAUUGGGAAGAAAAGCUUGUUGUUAAUAGCGGCAAGCCCUGACAUUACCUUUAGAAGAAGCACCGGUUAAUUCCGUGCCAGCAGCCGCGGUAAUACGGAGGGUGCGAGCGUUAAUCGGAAUUACUGGGGGUAAAGCGCGCGUAGGCGGUUUGUUAAUUCAGCUGUGAAAGCCCCGGGUUCAACCUGGGAACUGCAGUUGAUACUGGCCGAUUAGAGUUCGAGAGAGGGAGGUAGAAUUCCAUGUGUAGCGGUGAAAUGUGUAGAUAUAUGGAGGAAUACCAGUGGGGAAGGCGGCCUCCUGGCUCGAUACUGACGUUGAGGUGCGAAAGCGUGGGGAUCAAACAGGAUUAGAUACCCUGGUAGUCCACCCCGUAAACGAUGUCUACUAGCCGUUGGGAGACUUGAUUUUUUAGUGGCGCAGCUAACGCAAUAAGUAGUCCGCAUGGGGAGUACGGCCGCAAGGUUA